rnacentral:misc_RNA from 1 species
GGAACCAACACUCACCGUUAGAUCUCUCUCCACCGCAUUUAUAAUCCCUUUCUACUGCUCCCGCUCCUCACCAUUCGCAGAUCUCUCACUGCAUCUCUACAUCACUUCAAAUUUUGAAUUUCCAUCUCUCUCAGAAGAUCUAGAGUUCACUUAGAUCUAAGGUAAAAUCUCUUCCUUGUGUAGAUUAAUCUAGUGGGUAUCAUCAUAUUUGAGUUUUGAGCUGCUAAAUUUGCUUGAAAUUUGGUUAUACAGGUGAAAAAUGAGAGAGAUCCUUCACAUUCAAGGAGGACAAUGCGGUAACCAGAUCGGAUCCAAGUUCUGGGAGGUGGUCUGCGACGAGCAUGGCAUAGACCCUACCGGAAAGUACAUUGGGACGUCAGAUCUGCAGCUUGAGCGUGUUAAUGUCUACUACAAUGAGGCCUCUUGUGGCAGAUACGUUCCUCGUGCUGUGCUCAUGGAUUUGGAGCCUGGUACAAUGGACAGCGUCCGGACUGGUCCCUAUGGUCAGGUUUUUAGGCCUGAUAACUUCGUUUUUGGACAGUCUGGUGCUGGGAAUAACUGGGCUAAGGGUCACUAUACUGAAGGUGCUGAGCUUAUUGAUGCCGUUCUUGAUGUUGUUCGGAAGGAGGCGGAGAAUUGUGAUUGUCUUCAAGGUUUCCAGGUCUGCCAUUCAUUGGGUGGAGGAACUGGUUCUGGAAUGGGCACCUUGCUCAUUUCAAAGAUUCGUGAGGAGUACCCUGACAGGAUGAUGCUCACUUUCUCUGUAUUCCCCUCCCCGAAGGUUUCUGAUACAGUAGUUGAGCCUUAUAAUGCCACACUCUCUGUUCAUCAGUUGGUGGAGAAUGCAGAUGAGUGCAUGGUUCUGGAUAAUGAGGCUCUUUAUGAUAUCUGCUUCAGGACUCUGAAACUGACCACUCCAAGCUUCGGUGAUCUGAACCACUUGAUCUCUGCAACUAUGAGUGGAGUAACUUGCUGCCUCAGGUUCCCUGGUCAACUCAACUCAGACCUGCGAAAGCUUGCUGUGAAUCUUAUCCCUUUCCCUCGUCUCCACUUCUUCAUGGUUGGUUUUGCUCCCCUGACCUCUCGUGGAUCUCAGCAGUACCGUGCCCUAACAGUCCCAGAAUUGACUCAACAAA